rnacentral:rRNA from 1 species
UAUACUGUGAACUGCGAAUGGCUCAUUAAAUCAGUUAUCGUUUAUUUGAUAGUACCUUACUACUUGGAUAACCGUGGUAAUUCUAGAGCUAAUACAUGCUAAAAACCUCGACUUCGGAAGGGGUGUAUUUAUUAGAUAAAAAACCAAUGCCCUUCGGGGCUCCUUGGUGAUUCAUAAUAACUUAACGAAUCGCAUGGCCUUGUGCCGGCGAUGGUUCAUUCAAAUUUCUGCCCUAUCAACUUUCGAUGGUAGGAUAGUGGCCUACCAUGGUUUCAACGGGUAACGGGGAAUUAGGGUUCUAUUCCGGAGAGGGAGCCUGAGAAACGGCUACCACAUCCAAGGAAGGCAGCAGGCGCGCAAAUUACCCAAUCCCGACACGGGGAGGUAGUGACAAUAAAUACUGAUACAGGGCUCUUUUGGGUCUUGUAAUUGGAAUGAGUACAAUUUAAAUCCCUUAACGAGGAACAAUUGGAGGGCAAGUCUGGUGCCAGCAGCCGCGGUAAUUCCAGCUCCAAUAGCGUAUAUUAAAGUUGUUGCAGUUAAAAAGCUCGUAGUUGAACCUUGGGCCUGGCUGGCCGGUCCGCCUCACCGCGUGCACUGGUCCGGCCGGGCCUUUCCUUCUGGGGAGCCGCAUGCCCUUCACUGGGUGUGUCGGGGAACCAGGACUUUUACUUUGAAAAAAUUAGAGUGUUCAAAGCAGGCCUAUGCUCGAAUACAUUAGCAUGGAAUAAUAGAAUAGGACGUGUGGUUCUAUUUUGUUGGUUUCUAGGACCGCCGUAAUGAUUAAUAGGGAUAGUCGGGGGCAUCAGUAUUCAAUUGUCAGAGGUGAAAUUCUUGGAUUUAUUGAAGACUAACUACUGCGAAAGCAUUUGCCAAGGAUGUUUUCAUUAAUCAGUGAACGAAAGUUAGGGGAUCGAAGACGAUCAGAUACCGUCGUAGUCUUAACCAUAAACUAUGCCGACUAGGGAUCGGGCGAUUUAUCUUUUUGACUCGCUCGGCACCUUACGAGAAAUCAAAGUC